UACUACUUGAUGGGGGCGAAGAUAUUUCAAGCUUUGGAGACAGCCAUUCAGGAGGAAUUGAAAAAUUCCUUUUUGGAGGCCAGAGAAGCUUUAAUGAGUAACUAUGCCAACAUCACUCCAGAAGAGCUUGAAAUCUUUUUGCAGGAGUAAGGAAAUCUGCUGGUAUUCCAUCUGCCUGCCAAAUAAAACUCCAAACCCUCUUUUUUAAGGAAGAUAACAUCAUCCUGAGUCUCUACAUAUUUUCAUAUACAAUGGCCAGCAUCCAAUGAAAAAUUAGGAGAGAAAAAUUAAAAUUCACGCACUCCUCUUUUUUUUGGUGACUGGACUUGUCAUUUUCAUCUACCACCAUUACUUUUCAUGCAUACAGAGGGCUGGACUUACAAAGAAGGACUAUGUUUUGCAUUUAUCUCCUUAAGUACCAUUGGGUUUGGUGACUAUGUACUAGGUAUAAAUCCUUCCCAGAAUUACUCAAAAAUUUACCCAGCAAUAAUAAUACUUUGGUGUACUUUUGGUCUUGCUUGGAUUACUCUUCUGUUUGAUUUAUUUUCAAAAAUAUUGGACAAAUCUUAAGAAAAAAAGCUUGCUUGCGAUAUGCUAUGUCAAACAGAAGAAUGUCAUCUAUGAAGAAAGUUCAUAUUUCUGGCCUUCUCUGGAUUCACAAUCAAAGAGAACAUCUCAACUUUCUUUUUGAAAUAGUGGGACAAGAUGAUCCAAAAGAGGAUACAUGUGGUUUAAAAAUUUACCUGCCAUAUGGG